rnacentral:rRNA from 1 species
UGCCAGCCGCCGGGUAAUACGGAGGGUGCGAGCGUUAAUCGGAAUUACUGGGCGUAAAGCGCGCGUAGGCGGCUUGGUCAGUCGGAUGUGAAAGCCCCGGGCUUAACCUGGGAACUGCAUUCGAUACUGCCUGGCUAGAGUAUGGGAGAGGGAAGUGGAAUUUCCGGUGUAGCGGUGGAAUGCGUAGAUAUCGGAAGGAACACCAGUUGCGAAGGCGGCUUCCUGGCCCAAUACUGACGCUGAGGUGCGAAAGCGUCGGGAGCGAACAGGAUUAGAUA